UGAAAAGUGUGAUGGGCCUACCAAAGUGCUUC
rnacentral:piRNA from 1 species